GUUGAAAGAAGGGAGUUCAUUGACCCAGUGUGUGUCUGGGGGUGGCUUUGGAUGGGAUGUUUGGGAGGAAAAAGAGCAAAGAAAGAGGAUCCCAAGUUCUUGACCACUUGGCAAGUAGUGGGUGAAACAAUUUCUAAUUAUUUAAUGAGAUGUGAACAAGCGAGACGGGGAGAAGGGGCUCAGAGCAGAAAACUGGUUGUGGCCUAGACGGUUGGCAGGAGGCCUGUACAGGUGGCUCAGCUGCCUCUCCUCCCAUGGAAUCCUCUCCACCGAGGCAGUUAGCUCAGCUGGAGGAUGAUAAAAGGCAGGCUGACUGCUCUUGGACCUGGGAUCGCAUAUCAAAAGCCAAUCCAGAAGAGGCUGUAAUCAGACAGGCAAAGUGUUGGCCGUGCACUGAGGCAUCAGAGAUGAUGAAGGUUCAGGCCAAACACCUAGGCUGCUCCCACCUUCUGCGUGGAUGUGGGAGGAGAGGCAGGUGACAACCCAUGGCUCCCUCCUGAGGAAACCCUCUGUGGUGCUGGGGGAGAUGCAGGCGAUCUUGAAGAAAGCUGGGGCCACACGAGUUUCUCUUCUCUCAGCGGCUCUAAGCCGGCUACAGAGCAGCUUGAAGUGGGGAGAUGAGAGCAGGCACUGGAGUCAGCUGGGCCAUCCCUGAGAGGAGCAGUGCCUUGAGGAGUAGAGCUUGAAGACAUUAAUGAGCUGGCUAUAAUCGUUCAAUAAAGCAGUCCCCUUAAGGAGCAUCCCUGGACACAGUGAAGCUUAAUAUGGGAUGACUACAGUGAUAAAUGCCAUGAUGGCUCCAUCUUUGCCAAGCCCCUGUCAACCAGGAGAAUGAGCAUUCAUCUCUGCAAGGAGAGAUGAGGAAACCAUGUGUGAUCUUCAGAUCCCUUCAAGAUGAUUGGGAAUGGAGACGUAGAGGAAAGGGAUGGCUGUGGUACCUAAGAAGAGGGAAGAGGGUGCUGAAAGAGCCAGCAGGAGGGCGCUGAAGGAAUAGAGUCCCUCACUUCGCCAACCCAUCUACUGAUGACACUGAGGAGGUGCCCAAUCAUGCAGGGCAGGUGCUACUAACAACCAGAGGAGGCGCCCUCUAAGAUAGCCAAGUCCAAGCCCUGUUUCAAGUCCAAGGUCACAAAGGUGAAGAGGCGUGUCAGGUUUCAGAAGUGACACCGAGACUUUUCUCCAUUUUUAAGCCUAAUUGGGAGCAUCCCUGACAAUCACCAAGCUUUGUUUUCCCCACAGCAGAGCCACUCAGCAGUACCUAAAUCCGUUCAGGUCAUUCAAACGGUGCCCAAGGUGAGGGCUAGAUUUCACUUUUUAGCUAGACUAGAAAGGCAUGCGGGGAGUAUACCAGCUAGCAGCUACCCAAAACAACAUGUGCAGGUAAGAGUUAACAUGGCAGGCCCGAGACUGCUAUCUUAGAAAGGCCUGAGUGCAAGGUUGGCCCUUGGCAGACAUCUAGGAACUUGGGUUUCAGGAGCUUAGAUUUAGGGUUCCCACCACCCCAAGUCACUGUGCCUAAAUGUUUGUGCAAACAAUGUGGUUUGUGCUGAACACCUGCUUUCCAUCUGUGAGUCUUUUUGGUACAUGGCACGCAAAGGGUGUUUAUACGAUCAGCUCCCAAUAAAGACCCUGGGCACUGUGUCUCUAACAAGCUUCUCUGGUAGACAGUAUUCUGCAUGCAUUGUCAUAACUCAUUCUGGAGGAAUUAAGCAUGUCCUGUGUGGCUCUACCGAGAGGAAACUCCAGUCUGCUCCACGCACCUCUUCUUUUUGCUGAUUUUGCUUUGCAUCCUUAUGCUGUAAGGAAUCACAGCCAUGAGUACGACUAUAUGCCGAGUCUUGGGAGUCCUCCUAGCCACUCAUCAAACCCGGGGUUGAUCUUGGGAACCCCCAAUAUGCCAC
ensembl:lncRNA